rnacentral:rRNA from 1 species
CAUAUUUUAGAGCCCAAAUCAUAUCUAAAAAAUUAUAAAUAUUACUUACAAAUCCACCUUCAUUUCAAAUAUUAAUUUAAAAAUUCAUUUAAAUAAUUCUAUUGUAACCCAUUUCCACUUAUCUAUAAACUGCACCUUGAUCUGAACUCAACAAUCCUUAUUAAUAUGAAUAUUAAUUUCUUAUAAAAUAUCCAACUACGACGAUAUACAAGCUACAAAAAUAAGUUCAAUUUAACGUGGAUUAUCGAUUAAGGAACAGGUUCCUCUGAAAAGACUAAAACACCGCCAAAUUUUUAAAUUUUCAAGAAAAUAACUAAUACUAAUUCAAUCACAAAUUUACAUUUAA